GUGCUCGUCGGCGAGGAACCACCGGACGUUCCAGUCGUCGGGCACGACGUUCGCCUCGUCCGGGUGCACCA
rnacentral:tRNA from 1 species